UUUUGAGAAGGAAUGUUAAUUCACCUUCAGUUAUGGGUAAGUUUAGCAUUUAUUUUAUUCUUAUUUCCUCUCAUUUUGAUUACGUUUUGUAUUAUUAUAUCGAAAAGGAGUGUUUGGUGUUAAUGUGUGCCUAAAAUCAUUCACGAAAACUUGAUUGUGUCGAAAGAUAUAGCCGAUUGAACUGAACCCAUAUUUGGCAUGUUUCGACGUGGUGUUUGAGUAGCGUUUUUAUAUUGCCAGAAUAUCCUUACACGAUUAGAAAUCAAUAGCAUUUCCUUUGUAUACUUGUUUUUUAAAGCAUAAACUAUCCAAAAAUCACAUCGCACCCCAUCGCACCUCGUACGGUUUGUCUGCAAUUUUUGAAUUUACAAUGCCCAUUUUAACAGGUAAAUGAUACAUUGACACCGUAAACAAAAUGGCUACCAAGAGGCGAGAGACGCUUCGAGCUGUCAACUGGCGACAGUUCAGCGAAGCCAAAGCCCAAGUUGGCUUUACGUGAAGGUAGUUCGAGGAAGAGCCUUUUCCAAACAAUUUCUCAAAGUUCUGUAUCCAGCAGGAAUGAAAAUCCAGUGUCAUGGACUAAACAAGAAACUUGUAUGCUAUUUAUAAAUAAAUACAGUAUAUAUGUCUGUAUUGGAAAGAUCCCUGGAACGACAAAUGGCCAACAACCAAAGAUAAAGAGGAUGUGCCCAAGCAGUAAAAAAUGCAUGUAAAUCCCAACGAUCAGGUAUGGUAUUCGAAUCAUAUUAUUAUUAUUGAUUUAAAUUAAAUCAACUAACCGAGCAUUGAGUGCCAGUGCCCCUCCUUGACAAGUAAAAUCAGAGUAAAAUAAUAAAGAAGGGCACAUUAGGAUGGAAUGUAACUUAACAGAUUAAAUUCAUAAUAUAAUUUCAGGCUGAACACAUUUGCAGGCUGAAACAUUUGUAAACAACAAAUGGAAAUUGAGUUGACUGCAUCUUUAAACAACAAGCUCCCAACAAUGUUGCGAUUAAAUUCGACUGAUAAAUUAAAUGCCAUUUAUAUAUUCUUAUAUUUCAUUAAUUAAAGCAAAAUAUUUUAAUUGUUCUAGGAGGUUCAUGUAGAACCCGAGUCCUAAAAACCUUGGCGAAGAAUGUGGUACAUUGAGUGAUGCAGAAAAAGAUUUUGAAAUUGACUAUGUACAUGAUUCUGUUGGCUCAGCUAUUCCUGUGCCAUCAAGUCCUGCUGCUGUGUUCAAUUUUAGUGAUAAUCUCUCACCAAUUUUCAAAGAGUCACCAUGUAAGGGCUCAGCAGGAAAUAACCCAGGUACUCUUGGUGAUAUUGUCCAAAAUCUCAUCACAGCCUUCAAAAGUGUAGCAUGUCCCAAAGAUUAAAGGAACAAUUAUUGAACUAUUUAUAAAAGCUUUUUUUAUUGAGCUUGGAGGCAUGCAUGGCUUUAUACCAAUUUGUGCAGGCAGAUUUUCUGGACAAAAGUUUAAAUGCCAUGAAAACAUUGCUGCAAGAGGGCAAGAACUUGCUUUAUGGUAUGUCAUGGUGCUUUGAGAGAUGAGAAGAUGGCACACCUGAGUGGCUUUGCCACCAGUGCCAGAACAUAUGUGAGCACAUUGGUCAAAUUUAGAAAAAUUUCUCCCAUUCAUGCGGGCUCGUAUUGCCAGCGGACACUCUCCUCCGCAUAGGCUUUGUAGUUUGUUUUCUUUCUAUAUAAGUUUGACUUGCGAGCAGUAGCGGCUCCAAAUGUCCAUGAUGCCCCCUUUUAACCCCGCGCUUGCUCCCCCAGUGUGCCCACUUCUCUACCUAGCCCGCUACUGCCCGCAAGUCAAACUUAUAGAAAGAAAGAAAACAAACUCAUUCUCAUAGAAAGAAAACAAACUACAAAGCCUCUGCGGAGGAGAGUGGUCAGCGGACAUCUUACAGAAAGUGGGCAGUUCUGUGCACAGUACACACAGUACAUAACCUUAUGCACAUAUUUGUAAAUAACAAAUAACAAUGAAUAUAGUCAUUCAUAUUUAUAAACAUGUUAAAAACAG
rnacentral:lncRNA from 1 species